CGGAGCAAUCCAUCACACUGCGGCUCGGGCACCGUCAUCGCCGGGUGGCAGUGAGCUAUGGACGGGGCUUUGAUAUUUUUCUACUCUCUUGUGCAGGAGCAGAGACAGAUCUUCCUUGCUAUAAACUGUCAUCGUUCCGUGGGAGCUGAUGGUCUGUCAGCCUCUCUGUGUUGUCUCUGGGUGCUGUGAGUAAUGGUGCAGCAGCAGGAGGUGCACAGCAAGGUCCAGAGUCAUCCUCACCGCUGGAUACCUAUGAGCAGGAGGCUGAGCUGAAGUCACUGAGGUUCCUCUUGUGAGUUCAUGGUUGAGCUGUGGAGAAAAGCACGUUGAGCUGUACAAAGCCACAGCUGUUCCCCAAGAAGCGGGGUCCUUCCCUGCCUGCUCCGCGUGGCAUCGGGUGACUGCCCCGGCCUGCUGCCAGGUGGCAGGAGCCGAGGAAGGAAACCCUCAGGCUGCUUCCUCCCAACCUGCUCAGACGUUCCCACUGCUGCACAACUCUUUAAAUCAAAUAUUUGCUGCAUGUUUGGCCUAUGAUUCACGUUACCUUCAUGGGCAACUGAGCUCUGACAGGUGCUGGUCAGCCAUGCAGAAGGGCUUCUCGUGGUCCUCUUAAUUUUGGUAGGGUAGGUUGUUGUGUUGGGUGGGGAUGUGAAGAGAGCUGAGGUUGGAGGCUGUAUGAAUGGAUGUACCCAUCGGCAUCAGGGAGAGGAGCUGCUGGAGGCUCCAGAAACACCACGUGGAUGUGGGGCAGCCAGCCUCCUGCUGCCAGGGAAGGGGUUGGUGAGUUACAUCAGGCUUCAUCGACAGCCACGCAGUGCUUCGGGAGGAUUUUUACCCCAUUCAGGGUGAAUAUUGCACAGUCGUUCAGUUCGCAAGUAGAGAAAAUUAGAGGAGGAGAAAUUAGAGGAGGAGAAAAUUAUGGUCGUGGUGCUGAGGGUUGAACAGGAGAUCUGAUUGUUCAGCUGGGUCUCGUUCCUCGCCUGUCUCUAAAUGUGGGUGGUUCGAGCUUUCCCCUGUUUGGCCUGUCUCUGCUGCAGUGUGAUGGCAUCUGCUCGAGUGCCACCCUCCUCAGCCAUCCCACAAUUCAGGAUUGCUGAUGCCUGCUGCUAAAAUACAAGCUGCCUCCUUCCCUCUAAUCUUCUUCACCCCCUGAAGCUGCCCCUAUCUCCAGCUUUCAUCCAAACCCAGACAAAACCUUCUACAAGGUCUUAAGCAGCCUUGGGAAUGUUCCUCCAGGUUUCUGGAACACCACGGGGUGGUCACGGCUCGAGGUGGCGGUGAGCACGGGGUGAGCAAGCAGCCUCAGCUCCGGUUGCAAGCAGCUGCCCCUCGAAGCCAGGGGACAGAUGUCAUUCAGAGAAAUGUGAGCUGGCCACCUGUGCAGCAAAGGAAAGGCUCAAGGUGAGAAGGCAGAACCAGACUGCGCCCUGGUGCGGGGCGUUGGGGUCCUGGAUCCGUUGCAUUUCCCACACAGCCGAACUUCCAACGCAGAGCAGGGGGCGAGCUCAAUUCCCAGGUGACUUCAGCAGUGUCACACAGCCUCAUCUCCCAGCCCGAGCUGGACAGUGAGAGGCUUCCAGUUGUGCUGGAGGGGGGACUGGGAUGGGACACAUCCUUGCAGCAGGAGGGCUUGGUUUCAGGAGGCUGGUGCAGGGAGGAGGGCUUGGGCGUGGGGUUUGGUGGGUGACGGUUCCUGCCUCUGUUCUCUUUUCACUGGGUUUAAGCUGUGUGCACCGGGUCUGAUGCAAGUGCGAAGGUGCGGCUUCAAAUUUCUACCGAAGGUGUUGUUUUGAUGCCGUUGACACAGCGGAUCCUGCUCGCCUUGGAUGCCAAGGCAAUUUGGAAGUGGCUCCAGAGAAGGCGAGGUGAGCUUGUACGAGCUGGCUGCCAGCAAGGGGAGAACAGGCUCCAAGGCUGGGUUAAACUUCUAGGGUCACAAAUGAUGCCAAAUGCAGCAAGAAAAUAGUAUGUGAUUAGCUGAUGAGGUGGCAUGGCUAUUGCCUUGCGUUUGAAUGCUCGAUGUUUUAAGCUUAAUGAUGGUAUUCCAAUAUACACUUUCUGUGAAGGAAAUAUAUUAUUUGUGUAUGCACCUCACAGCUUAAAAUUUAGUGUGAGAAAGGUAUUUCUUCUCUCCACCUCUGGAUGGGUAGCUGUUUAAUAAUAAUAGUUAGCAUUAAAAGUUCAUAACAUUUUAUCUUUAAUAGCAAGACAUUUACCUUUUACCUGGAACACACUGCUAAAAUUGCACAUUUCAUACCCGAGUGCCAUGCUGAUGAUGUUAGAAAAUGCUGGCCUGGCUUGAACCAAAUUAUACACUUCUCCUCAAGCCUUUAGCUAGUUUCCUCUCCAUCAGGGGUGGCAAAAAGUAACAUAAGCACAGGAGAAAGAGAAGAAAGAACAGAUGCAGACUUCAGAGGCAACAUACAGUACGUAAGUUUGCGUGAAAUACUGGUAUUCAAGCUACAGCAGUUUAAUGGAUGUUAAUUCGGUUUCUGUAUUAACCCAGUAACUCGUUAGUGUUAAUCAAAUCCAUCUCAUGUUGAGCUUCUACAGGUGUGGAUGUGAGGAGGUGUCGGUGUGGGGAUGAGGAGCUCUGGGUGAGGGCGGUUGUCCUGGCACAUUGCUGCUCGGCAAGCACCCGCACCUCGGCCGGUGCUCAGCGUUUGGCAGACAAUGCGAGGAAAGCUUGACCAGCGUGGUUUGUUGGAGCAGGAACUGCAGAAAAUCUGGGCCACAAAAAGUUUAAGCCUCACGCUGAUUCUUGAUGGUGUGCGGGGAUUUCCUGGUGGGACAUUUCAGGAGUGUUGUGUGAGCUGCCUCUGUGAAAGACCUUCACACAGCAGCAUUGAUGAGCUCCUCUAAAUCCUGAGGAGGAUGAAAAAAUCUGAACUCUGAUGGUGCCCCAGAGGCUGGGCUUGCAUCCCCUGGCCUGGGGACCAUGUCCCUAUCCAGAGCCGGGGAAAGGAAGACUUCCAGCGCGAGGCAGGCUCUGCCACCAUGCAGUGGGAUAGAAGGGUGGAAAUGGCUUUAUUUAAAAGAUAAAGCACCUUGUCUAAAUCCUAAAAAAAUGGUUAAGUAUGCUGCCAAAUCUGUUCUGGCCAUAUUGAGCCUGGAAACCUGGCUGCAGCCAUCCUGAACUGAGUUCCUCGAAUGCCUCCCCUCGAUGGCUGGGCUCGAGCAUCCCCGUAAGGAGCCCGCGGGGCCGUGGAUGCGCUGGGCUCUCCCUCCUCUUCACCCCCUCCCUGAGAACCAGCCGUCACUGCCUCUACGUGACAGGAGGAAAGUAUGUUUUAAGGAGUAAUAUUAAUAAUAAUAGCAACAUUAAAGUGUGCGGAAGGAUUACAAAAGUAAUUCUGAGAUCUCGCUUGCUAAUGCAGGCUAUUAACAAAAGAUAAUCACCUUUAAGUCAGUCACCUUUAGCCCUGGAGUAAAAUGGAGGCGCAAUUAUUCAAUUCAGUACAAAAGGCAUUUAAAUAGAGAUGGAUGAACCUCUGGCUCUCACGUCUUGCUUGGGAAGCCAGCCAGGGCCAGGUUCUGAGGGAGGAAAACGUGAUGUGAAAAGGGCAGCAAUAAGGGAAAAACUCCCGGUGUUCUCUCCCUUUUUCCACCACACCCCAGGUCAUUCACCCUUUGGAGUGUGAAAAAGGGAAAGGGAGAAAAAAAACAGGACAAACACGUUGGAAAGCAGCUCUUCGUGUAGCUUUUAUGAGUAGCAUUCGGAGGCUCUUAUGCUCCGGGCUGCCCUAAGAAGGGCAGCCCCGAGUCAGAGCGCGUUUUUGCCGUCGCUCCGUGCCCUCGUGUUGGUGCCUGGGGAGCAGCCUGGGCAUGGCCCCGGGGUUUAUUUAUGUGCCUGGGAAACCUUUCUCUGCUGAAAACCGAAGUCUUUUUUUGCUGCAAGUGCUUUUUAAUCCCCUCCCUUGUGCUCGGAGCCCGUGCUCUCCCCUGAAAGCAGCCUGUGGUUGCUGGAGCACAGGGCUUAUUUUUGUAGGGUUGCUUCUGAGUGCUGCCUUGCUGGUUUUGUUGUUUAGAAGGGUCAUUGGCGUAUUCGAUUGGGAAGGAGGAGAGGACGGGGGCUCUGGAAGCUUGUGUGAGAUUGCAGAAGUGCCUUUGAAAGCCUUUUGAGCUGCACAGAUGAGCAGUCGGGGCUUUUGGAAAUGCCACACUGACUGACCAGCUCAGCUGCAUUCAGCAUCCUCCUAAAACACCCAGUGCUUUUCUCCCCCCUGAAGCACUGGAGCCGAAGCAUCCAAACACCAUUGCCCUUGCCUCAUCCCUGUGAGCGUCGUCGUUGCUGGCAGCAGGGAGCCAGGACACAGCAGCUCCACAAGCCUCGUGGAGCAUGGUUUGGGACGUCCGUGAGAGAUCAGCAGGUAUGAGGAAUUACAAACAGGAACAAGUUUUUGGAAACAAAACUGAGAGUUGUCGAGAGAGGCGUCGUUAGUGGCUGCUAAUCCACCGGGUGGGGAGAGGAGAAGCCCCAGUCCAGCCCAGUGCAGAGUGGAAUAAAUUCCCUGUCUCUGUUUUACGUCCUGUCUGUGCAAGCGAGGGGCCUCGUGCGCGCCUUCCUGCUCCGCUCCCGUGUGGCUCCGUCUGGAUGGCUGCCUGCUUUGGCUCUAUAAACAACAUGGUAGGAGCUCGGGGUGUGAUUAUCCUCAGAGAUAUAACCGCAGCGUUCACUCCACUUGCUCGUUUUCCACUGCACAGCUCAUGCGCAGGCUUCCACGCUGGUGGCUUGCCUGGAUCUAACCCGCAUGGUUGGGCAGCCCCAAAUCUUGGUUUGUAGGGUGCCGCUUCAGGGGUCAGCCCGCUGUGUCCCAGGGCUCAUGUGGGAGCAGCAUCCUUAAAGGAAGACCUUUAAGGCUGUGGGAGGGCCCAUGAACACCCACCAAGGGACUCGUCGUGUCACAAGGGGGGCUGUCACAAACAAGACCUCACCCUGCAGCGGGGAGUGAGGAGCAGGGGGAGGCAGCGAGCUGCGAGCAUCUCCCUCACCUCCGAGGGCAGUGCUGCCUCUGGGUUUCCUCCGGGUGUUUGGAGGCCUCUGGGUGAGACCGGAGGCUAGCGAGGGGUAAGGCUGCAGGCAGAGGGAGGCUGGGCUCUGUCUGCCUGCUGCAUGGCUCCGUAAAUCAGGGCGGGCUGUGCUGCCGCCGGGAUUCCUGCGUCGUCUGGAAAUUCUCCGUGCGUCCAUCAGCACCUGCACCGUCGGGGAGGCUGAACCUCGGGCUCUGAGCGGAGAGGUAAACAUUUCGGACCCCAACCCAGGAUGACAAUAACCAGAGCAGAAACCUUUCCGUCCCGUUGCAGGUCAAACCUGGUUUAGGCAUUUCAACCCAGAAUUUCUCUCCGGGGUUAAUUGGAGAGAGCUGCCUGCUCGUGGCCCUUCGCUUAGCCCCAUAAAACCCUGCUCACGCACUCCGUCUCUGUCCACCCCCUCCUUCAGAUUCACAUUCGAGACCCUGGUGGAGAACAUCUUGAAAAGGUAGACAAAUUAGCCUUGUAAAAGCCAGACUAAAUUGACAGUGUGUUUAUUGCAGUGCUGCGGUGUUAACCCCUGCUGAGCUGUGCCAGGACAAGCUUCGUGCUCCAGCGAUGCGUUGUGGUGGUGGUGGAGCAGAUGGCACUGGUUUGUGCUGGGCACCAUGUUGGGGAGCCCUGCAGAUCCCUGGGGGUGGAGGAGCUGAACCAGUGCCUGGAUGGCUGGUGUCAGCCUUCCUGCUGGGGGAACACCAAGGGCUGGAGGUCUGGGCAGAGCCUCGAGGCUGCCUAGGGGCUGUUUGGGUACCGCGUCCCCAUUGAGACCAGUACGGGUUUGGGGAAGGAAGAAAGGUGAAACAGUUGAAAAUCAACUCCUUGUGCUUUGUUCAUCUGAAGCCCUGAGUAAUUUGUGACUUCUGUUUCAGUUUCUGUCUGCUAAAGCAGCCCUUUUCCCAUAGAAACUACUCACAGGUUCUUCAUCAGCUCAGACAGGCACAACUUCCCUUGUCAGAUCCCCCUUUGGCUCAAACCUGAUGCUGGGAACGGAGGAAGGAGGCUUCUCCCCUGCUUCUCAGCAGCACAGGGAGAGGAGAGCGACCCUGGGGAGCUGAGCCUGGCCCUGCUCCACACCCACCCGCCCAUGCAAGCACUGGGUGGGCAUUCCCUGCCUCUCUGGGGCAGGUUUGUCCUUCAAGUUUCAUUUGGUUUGUGGUGGAUGAGCCAAAGGAGCUGCAGACUGAACGGGAGCCUAGGAGGAGUUGAGCUCUUCUGCAUUCAGCUGAGCCGAAUGAGAUAAGCACAUCCUGCGUCGUUCACGUUUUAGUGGAGGAAAAAGUGUUUUCCCCUUCCAAACGCCCUGGAGGAGUUGGGGCAGUGUCUGCCCUGUGCAAGGUGCAGAUGGGUUGGUGUUAGCAAGUCCCGGCCACUGCCUGCCCCUCCUGGUCUGGGAGCCUGGACUGUUUGUAAAACUGCUCAGGGCUGGCUCACAGCAUUCACUCUUUCCCACGACAGAUUGAGCAUCACCAACUGCUGGUGACCAAAACACCAUGAAUCAAGGCCUCAGCUCAAGAGGCAGCUUAGAGAAAAAAGUUAAAAAAAAUAUUAACGCUGAACUUUUUGUUCUGCUUUUGCUAGCCGUACAAUGCUUGUUUUCAAGCCUUCCUCUGCAACCACAACAUUUAAAAGAGCAUUUAAAAAAAAUCAGAGCUGAGAUACUCUUAAAAUCACAUGUUUCCAGACACCGGGGACUCGAGAGUAGAGCUGCAGAUAUAAUCCUGAGAUUUGGCAGUGCUCUUUGUAUCAUAUUAAGUGAUGGUCUACAGCACUCGUUAAUUACUGCGGGCUGAAAAACAAUUCUGCCUCCCGACAGAGGUCUUCUGCUCAUUCUCAGCAUAGAAGUUUUUCCAGUUCUCGUGGGUCAGAGGGAAAUAUCACUUUCUAAAAGGCGUAGGUACAAAAUUAUGCAGUGAGGUAACCUUCUGAGUUGGGAUUUAACAGUGUUCUUAGACUUCAACAGAAUAAAGCAGCAUCGAUUUUAUUCAAAGAGAGAAAUUUGAGCAUAUUGGACUGAAAUGAUCCCCCUUCAAAGCUAUUUCUGAAUAAUCGUGCAGGUAAUUUUGUAUUUCUAAGCUCCCGUGUCUAAUCCAAAGCCUCUUGAAGGCCAGCAGAGGAGGGUGGGCUGCCGCUUGGAGCAGGCGGCAGGGGCAGCGAUCUGGGCUUUACGGACAGACACAUCCAGGAUGGAUCAGCCCUUCCCCUGCCAAACCCGGGCUUUGUGCAGGUGCCCGGGAGGUGUGGCGUUCCCUGGCAGCUCUCCACAUGCAGCAAGGUAAAGCUGGGCUCUGCUCCUUCCCCAGCCAGCUCCCAGCCUCCAAACCCUGUGUGUUUUAUGAGCAUCCUCCACCUGCUCCUGGCCUGGCUCCGCAUUUCCAGGGAUCUGCACUUGCCAACCUUCGUAGCCGAGCAUCGGUCCCUGCCCGUAGUUUGUUGCCUUCUGCUUUUAGGCAGCACCUGAGGGAGCAGCAAGCUCAAAGCAAAGGCAAGAAGCAUUUUGGUCCCUGGGCUGAUGCACUGGGGAAGCGUCGGAGGUCACCUCUGCUCCCCUGGACCAUCCCUGGAGCUUUUAUCGCUGGAGAAGCAGCAGCGGCAGCUCAGUGCAGUGCUGGGGGUGCACAUGGGGUGAGCCCCUUUGAAAAAGCUGCAGAAAAAAGGCUGCUUUUCUCAAACGGGGCUGGGGCGAGAGCUGGGGACUUGUCCCCGUUCAUCGUUCCUGCCCUUGUGCCCCGGCAGCGGGCGGGUUCGGGGCUUUGUCUCUGAGCGCUGAGCUCCAGCAAGCUGCCGCACAAACACCAACAUCAAAGCGCUGGCUGAGCGCUUUCUGAAGCAGCUUUCUAGGUUUUACUGGGCUAUAAAAUACGGCGACGAGGAUAUAAAAACAAAGCUGUGAUGGACUUAGCAGAGAGCCAAAGCAAGCGGGGAGAGAAAUGAUGAAAAUGAGAAAAAGGGUUAUGAGCAAGGAAUGAUGUAUCAGCUCCGUGUCAGGAGGAACAGAUUUUGGAAUAGCUGUGAAGAGCAUAAAACUGGUUUAGUCGUUAAGGGAAAAAAAAAAAAAAAGAAAAAAAAAAGGAAAGGAGAAAAAAGCCUGAUAAAAAUGAAUAAAGGAGGGAACUUCAAAGCAUAAAUUUCCUGACUGCAUGACACUGAUGUUUUGAACAGUUGUUCUGUGUGAGAUAGCAGCAGUGAUUUUAAUGAACUUUAAAGAGCAGUAUAAAUAGGAACAAACAAUGAAAGGCGAUCGCAUUAGCACACAGCUAGGCACUGAGCUAAUUGCCUGAACAGGAUUUAAGUGGCAGGUUAU